GACCCAAAGAGGGGAAAAAUGUCUGGACCCACAGACUGCGUGAGAGAAAGCAGCCGGUGAUUUAUGAAGAGAUCAGCGACCCUGAGGAAGAUGACGAGUAACUCCCCUCAGAGAUAUGACACAUGCCCACAAUGAGAAACAGAACGUGGUGACCUUUCACGAACAUGGGCAUGGCUGUGGACCCCUCGUCAUCAGGUGUAUAGCAAGUGAAAGCAAGUGUUUACAACAGUGAAAAGUUGAGCAUCAUUUUUCUUAGUGUGCCAACAGUUCAAUGUUAGCAUUUCCGUUGUAUUUUCUUGCAGUGUGCCAUUCUGUUAGAUAUUAGUGUUUUCAUUGAUGAGUAAGACAUACUUAAUGCAUAUUUCGGUUCGGGUAUCCAUGCACCUACCUCAGAAAACAAGUAUUGUCAGAUAUUCUCUCCAUAGAACAGCACUACCCUCCUUUCUCCCCAGAUGUGACUAUUGAGGUCAGGUCUGAGUGUUUAAUUUCCGAUUGUUUCCUCUGCAUUUACACACACACCACACUCGCACACACACACACUAAGUACCAGUAGAAGCAUUUCCCAUCUGCUUUUCUCCAGUGCCAUGCGCCCUGGUCAAGCCCCCCUCACUGUUUCCUAUUCAGCAUGCAUUCCCCUUAUCCGAUUCCCAUGUAUCAGUCACUGACAGUUAAUAAACAUUUGCAAACGUUC